rnacentral:rRNA from 1 species
GUCCUACGGGCGGCUGCAGUGGGGAAUUUUGCGCAAUGGACGAAAGUCUGACGCAGCAACGCCGCGUGGGUGAUGAAGGUCUUCGGAUUGUAAAACCCUGUCGUCAGGGACGAAGGUUGGGAUCUUAAUAGGGUUUCAGCUUGACGGUACCUGGAGAGGAAGCCCCGGCUAACUCUGUGCCCGCAGCCGCGGUAAUACAGAGGGGGCAAGCGUUAUUCGGAAUUAUUGGGCGUAAAGGGCGCGUAGGCGGUUUUGUAAGUAGGAUGUGUAAUCCCCGAGCUCAACUUGGGAACUGCAUCCUAGACUGCAGGACUGGAGUGCUGGAGAGGGUGGUGGAAUUCCACGUGUAGCGGUGAAAUGCGUAGAGAUGUGGAGGAACACCAGUGGCGAAGGCGGCCACCUGGACAGUAACUGACGCUGAGGCGCGAAAGUGUGGGUAGCAAACAGGAUUAGAUACCCUAGUAGUC